rnacentral:rRNA from 1 species
CUUGGAGGAAUGUAUAGCAAUAGCUAACUGCACUAAAGUUUUUAGUGUAAAAUCGACUAUGUUGAAUAAAAUUCUGGGUGGUACUAUGAUAAUGACAUUACUUAUUCAUAAGUCUUGACCAAAUUACGUGCCAGCAGUCGCGGUAAUACGUAGAAGACAAGUGUUAUUCAUCUUUAAUAGGUUUAAAGGGUACUUAGACGGUAAAUAAAGCCUCAAAAAGGGACUAAUUUGCUAGAGUUUUAUGUGAGGAAGUAUUAAAGUACUGCUGGUGUAGAGAUGAAAUUCUGUCAUACCUUGAAUGGCACAGGUUACGGCGAAAGCAUCUUUUUAUGUAAAAACUGACGUUGAAGGACGAAGGCUUUGUGUCUCGAACAGGAUUAGAUACCCUAGUAGUCUAAGCAGACAAUGAUGAAUGUCAUAGGUUAGAUGUAUUUUGAUCUAUAAAUGAAAGUGUAAGCAUUCCACCUCAAGAGUAAUUUGGCAACAUUGGAACUGAAAUCAUUAGACCGUUUCUGAAACCAGUAGUGAAGUAUGUUGUUUAAUUUGAUAAUCCGCAAAAAACCUUACCACAAUAUGAAUAGAUAUAUUUUAUCAUACCAGCGUUGCACGGCUGUCUUCAGUUAAUGUCGUGAGAUUUUGGUUAGUUCCAUAAAAUUAACGUAAACCCUUACUUUAUUUCAUAAUAAAGUAGCUCACCGCUAUAUUGGAUGGAUAGAGGGAUCAGACAGUCAUCA